UGUGUGCUCGGCUGACUGCACGUCCAGCCUCGGGCCAGCUCGAGACGGCCACAUUGCCUGGUUGAAGAUGGCUGAGCGUAAAACAGAAUGCAAGUCAGCUGGAGCACGUACUACUGGAGGCAGAGCCCCAUGAGAAGGGGCCAAGAACCCGCACCCAUCAAAAUCAAGAAGAAAGGCUGAACCCGGAGAGAAAAGGGAGGCCUCUGAGCCCAAGCCAAGCCAUCGCAUCCCCUGUGACUUGCCCGUAUAUAUGCCCAGAUGGCCUGAAGUAACUGAAGAAUCACAAAAGAAGUGAAUAUGCCUUGCCCCACCUUGACUGAUGACAUUCCACCACAAAAGAAGUGUAAAUGGCCGGUCCUUGCCUUAACUGAUGACAUUACCUUGUGAAAGUCCUUUUCCUGGCUCAUCCUGGCUCAAAAAGCACCCCCACUGAGCAUCUUGCGACUCCCACUCCUGCCCACUGAGCACCUUGUGACCCCCACUCCUGCCUGCCAGAGAACAAACCCCCUUUGACUGUAAUUUUCCUUUACCUACCCAAAUCCUAUAAAACGGCUCCACCCUUAUCUCCUUUUGCUGACUCUCUUUUCUGACUCAGCCCGCCUGCAC
rnacentral:lncRNA from 1 species